UACGGAGGGUGCAAGCGUUAAUCGGAAUUACUGGGCGUAAAGCGCACGCAGGCGGUCUGUCAAGUCGGAUGUGAAAUCCCCGGGCUCAACCUGGGAACUGCAUUCGAAACUGGCAGGCUAGAGUCUUGUAGAGGGGGGUAGAAUUCCAGGUGUAGCGGUGAAAUGCGUAGAGAUCUGGAGGAAUACCGGUGGCGAAGGCGGCCCCCUGGACAAAGACUGACGCUCAGGUGCGAAAGCGUGGGGAGCAAACAGGAUUAGAUACCCUGGUAGUCCACGCCGUAAACGAUGUCGAUUUGGAGGUUGUGACCUUGAGGCGUGGGUUCCGGAGCUAACGCGUUAAGUCGACCGCCUGGGGAGUACGGCCGCAAGGUUGAA
rnacentral:rRNA from 1 species